GCCGGACGCAGUGGGGCACGCCUGUAGUCCCCGCUACUCGGGAGGCUGAGGCCGGGGGAUCACUUGAGUCCAGGAGUUCUGGGCUGUCAUGCGCUAUGCCGAUCGGGUGUCCGCACUAAGUUCGGCAUCAAUAUGGUGACCUCCCGAGAGCGGGGGACCACCAGGUUGCCUAAGGAGGGGUGAACUGGCCCAGGUCGGAAGUGGAGCAGCCGAGACUCAAACUGGCGCCCACAUGGGAUGGGCUGGCUGGCUUUACCCGCUACGCCACAGCGCCAGCCCCUC
ensembl:misc_RNA Metazoa_SRP Metazoan signal recognition particle RNA